AGAGUUUGAUCNGGCUCAGAUUGAACGCUGGCGGCAGGCUUAACACAUGCAAGUCGAGCGGUUUGGUUAGCUUGCUAACCAGAUAGCGGCGAACGGGUGAGGAAUGCUUGGGAAUCUGCCUAGUAGUGGGGGAUAACGUUUCGAAAGGAACGCUAAUACCGCAUACGCCCUACGGGGGAAAGGGGGGGACCUUCGGACCUCUCGCUAUUAGAUGAGCCCAAGUCGGAUUAGCUAGUUGGUGAGGUAAAGGCUCACCAAGGCGACGAUCCGUAGCUGGUCUGAGAGGAUGAUCAGCCACACUGGAACUGAGACACGGUCCAGACUCCUACGGGAGGCAGCAGUGGGGAAUAUUGGACAAUGGGCGAAAGCCUGAUCCAGCCAUGCCGCGUGUGUGAAGAAGGCCUUCGGGUUGUAAAGCACUUUAAGCGAGGAGGAAUGGCUCUGGGUUAAUACCCUUGAGCAGUGACGUUACUCGCAGAAUAAGCACCGGCUAACUCUGUGCCAGCAGCCGCGGUAAUACAGAGGGUGCAAGCGUUAAUCGGAAUUACUGGGCGUAAAGCGCGCGUAGGCGGUUACGUAAGUUGGAUGUGAAAUCCCCGGGCUCAACCUGGGAAUUGCAUUCAAAACUGCGUGGCUAGAGUGUGGGAGAGGAANGUAGAAUUCCAGGUGUAGCGGUGAAAUGCGUAGAUAUCUGGAGGAAUACCGAUGGCGAA
rnacentral:rRNA from 1 species